UUAUGGCUCAGGAUGAACGCUAGCGACAGGCUAACACAUGCAAGUCGAGGGGCAGCAUAAAAGUAGCAAUACUUGGUGGCGACCGGCGCACGGGUGAGUAACGCGUAUGCAACCUACCUAUCAGAGGGGAAUAACCCGGCGAAAGUCGGACUAAUACCGCAUAAAACAGGGACACCGCAUGGUGAUAUUUGUUAAAGAAAUUCGCUGAUAGAUGGGCAUGCGUUCCAUUAGGUAGUUGGUGAGGUAACGGCUCACCAAGCCGACGAUGGAUAGGGGAACUGAGAGGUUGGUCCCCCACACUGGUACUGAGACACGGACCAGACUCCUACGGGAGGCAGCAGUGAGGAAUAUUGGUCAAUGGGCGAGAGCCUGAACCAGCCAAGUCGCGUGAAGGAAGAAGGAUCUAUGGUUCGUAAACUUCUUUUGCAGGGGAAUAAAGUGCAGGACGUGUCCUGUUUUGUAUGUACCCUGAGAAUAAGGAUCGGCUAACUCCGUGCCAGCCGCCGC
rnacentral:rRNA from 1 species